rnacentral:rRNA from 1 species
AUUGAACGCUGGCGGCAGGCCUAACACAUGCAAGUCGAACGAGUGGCGGACGGGUGAGUUAUGUCUGGGCAACUGCCUGAUGGAGGGGGUUAACUACUGGGCACUGUAGCUAAUACCGCAUACCAUCAGAUGUGCCCAGAUGGGAUGAGCUAGUUGGAGGGGUAACGGCUUACCAAGGCGACGAUCCCUAGCUGGUCUGAGAGGAUGACCAGCCACACUGGAACUGAGACACGGUCCAGACUCCUACGGGAGGCAGCAGUGGGGAAUAUUGGACAAUGGGCGCAAGCCUGAUGCAGCCAUGCCGCGUGUAUGAAGAAGGCCUUCGGGUUGUAAAGUACUUUCAGCGGGGAGGCGUUACCCGCAGAAGAAGCACCGGCUAACUCCGUGCCAGCAGCCGCGGUAAUUC